AGUGAACGCUGGCGGUAGGCCUAACACAUGCAAGUCGAACGGCAGCACAGUAAGAGCUUGCUCUUACGGGUGGCGAGUGGCGGACGGGUGAGGAAUACAUCGGAAUCUACUUUUUCGUGGGGGAUAACGUAGGGAAACUUACGCUAAUACCGCAUACGACCUACGGGUGAAAGCAGGGGAUCUUCGGACCUUGCGCGAUUGAAUGAGCCGAUGUCGGAUUAGCUAGUUGGCGGGGUAAAGGCCCACCAAGGCGACGAUCCGUAGCUGGUCUGAGAGGAUGAUCCGCCACACUGGAACUGAGACACGGUCCAGACUCCUACGGGAGGCAGCAGUGGGGAAUAUUGGACAAUGGGCGAAAGCCUGAUCCAGCCAUACCGCGUGGGUGAAGAAGGCCUUCGGGUUGUAAAGCCCUUUUGUUGGGAAAGAAAAGCAGCAGGUUAAUACCCCGCUGUUCUGACGGUACCCAAAGAAUAAGCACCGGCUAACUUCGCG
rnacentral:rRNA from 1 species